rnacentral:lncRNA from 1 species
CACCCUUCAUUUUUUUCUAUAUCUCCAAUCAACAUGCAAUCAUCAUCUACAAAAUAUCCCCACAAAUCAUCUCCCAAACCCAAUCUGAAUUCACUGCCACUGUUUGGCCAAACGGAUCACAGACCCUUAUCAUCUAGCACAAGACAGCAGUUUGGGCAAACGGCACAUGCAACCACAUCUUAACUUUCUCUAGUAAUUAAUG